UGGUCAAGUUAUUAAGGGUGCAGGGCGGAUGCCUUGGCACUAGGAGCCGAUGAAGGACGUGAUAAGCUGCGAUAAGCUUCGGGGAGUUGCACGUAAACUUUGAUCCGAAGAUUUCCGAAUGAGGAAACUCACUUAGAGUAAUGUCUAAGUAUCAUUGAGUGAAUACAUAGCUUAAUGAGGGGAACUCAGGGAACUGAAACAUCUAAGUACCUGAAGGAAGAGAAAGAAAUUCGAUUCCGUAAGUAGCGGCGAGCGAACGCGGAUUAGCCCAAACCAAUAAAGUUUUCUUUAUUGGGGUUGCGGACAUAUCAUAACGAAGAGGUAUCGUAAUUGAAGAGGUUUGGAAAGACCCACCACAGAAGGUAAUAGUCCUGUAUGUUAAACGAGAAGACUUCAGAUAUGAUCCAGAGUACCACGGGACACGUGAAACCCUGUGGGAAGCAGGAGGGACCA
rnacentral:rRNA from 1 species